UUUAUUAAAUAAAAAUAUUUUUUAUCUCAUUUUAUAUAUAAAGCAACGAACCUCAUACAUCCGAACCAUACAACAUGCAUCCAAAUGCACACACUCAAAGUAAGAUAUAAAGACGUUGAUGAUCAGCUAAGCCAACUUGAAGCGAACAACAAAUGUACAAUAAGCAUCACUAUGAAGAUGACAACAAAUGUACAAUAAGCAUCACUACGAAGAUGACAAAGCACUCCACCGAAAACAAGCCACUGUGAAGAACGUAGCUGACCGCCAACGAACCCUGAGCCCCAAGGUAGUUCCUUCACAAAG
rnacentral:lncRNA from 1 species